rnacentral:lncRNA from 1 species
CCAAGCUGCAAAGUCUUAGGCCAGACCAGCUGCCUGGAAGAAGCAGAAACCAGCCGAACUGCCUGCAAGAAAUUUAGACUCAGUCACUUGCCAAUGACACUUUCCAAACUGUUGGUCUGUCAAUAGGCUGUGCACUAUACCCCGGGUUUCCAGGUUUUGUGAGCUGUUACCUGUGCUGGGAUGGAUUUUGGUGAUGCAACUGUCUUUGAGUCAUUUCUGCUCCUUCAAGUAACCAACCACUCACCCAUAUUAUUCCCUUUCCGCCGACUGACCAACAAACGAAAUGAGUGAGCCUCUGCCCUUACCCAACCCCCAGCCAAACCAUCAUUCACCCCAACCUGCCCCGAUCUGGGCCUGCGCCUGCAUGCUUGGGGUAGACACGCCCAGGCAGGGAGGAGCUCCCUGAAUCUGGAAACACCCCACUCUUCCAUCCCUUUCUGCCCACCAAUCUGCAAUGAGUGAGGAGACUACCAGGAGAGGCAAGACCAUCCAGAAUUGCUGACAUUGAAUUCCUGGCCCCCACACACCACUGGGUCACAAAAGGAGAUAGAGAGACCCCACCUGCACCCACUAAAAGAAAAUAUGGGAAGAAGACAGAAUAAGAUUUCUGUCAACAACAGAAAGACCAAUAUGACACCACCAGAAUCUAGGGACUCCACUCCAGCAAGAUUUGAAAAGCCCAACACAGAGCAUGAAGAUGAGAUGGACCUCAAAAAUUAUCUCCACAAGAUGAUAGAGACCUUUAAAGAGGAAACAAGAAAAUUCCUUAAAGAAAUAGAAGAAAAAGCAAACAAAAAUUACACGAAAUGGAGGAAAAGACAAACCAAAAAUUUCAAGAAAUAAACAAAUCUCUUAAAGAAUCUAAAGAAACCCAAGAAAAAACAUCCAAACAAGUGAAGAAAGUUCUUGAAACAGUUCAAAGCAUGAAAGCUGAAAUAGACACAAUAAAGAAAACACAGAAUGAGGGAUGCUGGAAAUGGAAAGACUGGAUAAACAAUCAGGAACUAAAGAUGUGAGUAUAACCAAUAGAAUUCAAGAGAUGGAAGAGAGAAUCUCAGUUGUUGAAGACUCUCUCCAUAUCUCUUCAAUAUUCUACUUGAAUUUCUAGCUAGAGCAAUAAGACAAGAAAAG